rnacentral:RNase_P_RNA from 1 species
AGGCAGUCGCUUCGGGAAGCCGAAGAGGAAAGUCCGGACUACAAAGAGCGGGGAGUCCUUUUGAAAAGAAGGAUACUGUGAACCAGAUUUCACAGGAAGGAAAGUGCAACAGAAAACAGACCGCCGAAUUUUCGGAUUCGGCAAGGGUGAAAUGGUGGAGUAAGAGCCCACCGGGCAUUGGUGGAAACCGUGUCGCAAGGCAAACCCCUCCCGUAGCAAGACCAAAUAGGGAAUGAUGCUGUUGCUCGCAGCGCUAUCAAUUCCGGGUUCUGGUCGCUUAGACAGAUGAUUGCCCUUUCCGGCAACGGGAAGACAAAAUCCGGCUUAUUCU